GGGUGUCCAACCAUAACAUCAGUCCUCCCGUAGGUCAUGAGAAUGGGUUUGGCUAAUAUGGCUGGCUAGGAUGCAGUCCGUUUCCUUACAGUCCCAUGUGCUUCCUUGUGAAGCUGUGAACUUUGUCCAAGAAGACAACCUUCCCUGAUGGAGGUCUGUUCUUCUGUCAAGGGCAGAGGAGCAACUGAACUUCCCUGCUAGAGACUCCAAAUAAGGCCUUAAGAAUAAUGAGCCUCAAACAGAGGUUAUGUUGGAAGAGGGAGAGACAGACAGACAGACAGACAGACAGAC
ensembl:misc_RNA 7SK 7SK RNA